rnacentral:lncRNA from 10 species
UUGCUACUAUUAUUGUUUAUAAAACAGCAGUGAGGAUUUUGAAGAUGAUGGUUCCACUGAAGUCUGGGCUAUCAGGGAACAUCUGGAUCACUCAGGAAGACCAACAGCUCUUACAGCAGUUCCUUACCUCCAUAGGGAGAUCACAGCAGUGCCUCCAGCUGUGAAAUGCCAUGGAAUAGACUGAGCACUGACUCCAUCAUCUGUGUCUCUCUGGCCCUGGCCAUGGUGCUUACCACUCCAAUCAGCUCACAUAUUAAUGAAGUUAAUGUGUAUUAAAUGACUGUUAGAGAUAGAAUGGCCAUAACCAAAAAAGACAGCACUACUGAAAAAAAUAGAUAAUACAAAAAGUGGAAAAACAUCCCAUGCUCAUGGAUUAGAAGACUUAAUAUCAUUAGAAUGACCAUACUGCUCAAAGCAAUCUGCAGAUUCAACACUAUUGCUAUCAAACUACCAACAUCAUUUUUUCACAAAAUUAGAAGAAAACUAUUCUAAAAUUCAUGUGAAACCAAAAAAAGAAAAAAGAGCCUGAAUAGCCAAAGCAGUCCUCACCAAAGUAAUAAACCUGGAGAAAUCACAUUACCCAACUUCAAACUGUAUUACAAGGCUACAGUAACCAAAACAGCAUGGUACUGGCACAAAAACAGACACAUAAACCAAUGGAACAGAAUAGACAACCCAGAAAUAAAGUUUCACUCCCACAGCCAUCUAAUCUUUCACAAAGUUGACAAAAAUAAGCAGUGGGGAAAGCCCUCCCUAUUCAAUAAGUGGUACUGGGAUAACUGCCUAGCCAUAUGCAGAAGAAUGAAAUUGGAACCCUGCUUUUCACCAUAAACAUAAAUUAACUCAAGAUGGAAUUAAAGAUUUAAAUGUAAGACCUCAAACUAUAAAAAUCCUAGAAAAAAAGCCUAAGAAAUAUCAUCCUGGACAUCAACCCUGGGAAAGAAUUUAUGACUCAGUCUUCAAAAAGAUGCAACAAAAAUAAAAAUUGACAAGUGGGACCUAAUUGGAUUAAAGAGCUUCUGCACAGCAAAAUAAACUAUCAAUAAAGUAAGCAGACAACCUACAGAAUGGGAAAAAAUAUUUGGAAACUAUGCAUCCAACAAAGUUCUAAUAUCUAGAAUCUAUAAGGAACUUAAAUCAACAAGCAAAAAACAAAUAACCCUAUUAAAAAGUGAGCAAAAGGCAGGAACAGAUACUUUUCAAAAGAAGACAUAACAAACAUCCAACAAACAUGAAAAAAUGCUCAUCACUAAUCAUCAGAGAAAUGCAAAUCAAAAAACCACAGUAACAUACCACCUCAUACCAGUCAGAAUGGCUAUUAUUAAAAAGUCAAAAACCAACAGAUGCUGGAGACUGCAGAGAAAUGGGAACAUUUAUACACUGUUGGUAGGAAGGUAAAUUAUUUCAGCUACUGUGGAAAGCCGUUUGGACACUUCUCAAAAAAUUAAAAAUACAACUACCAUUUGACCCAGCAAUCCCAUUACUGGGUAUAUACCCAGAGGAAAAUAAAUUGUUCUACCAAAAAGACAUGUGCACUCAUAUGUUCACCACAGCAUUAUUCACAGUAGCAAAGACAUGGAAUCCACCUAGGUGCCCAUCAACAGCAGACUGGCUAAAGAAAAUAUGGGGCUUACACAUCAUGGAAUACUACACAGCCAUAAAAAAGAAUUAAAUCAUGUCCUUUGCAGCAACAUGGAUGCAUCUGGAAGCUAUUAUCCUAAGCGAAUUAACACAGGAACAGAAAGUAAGGUAUACAUGUUCUCACUUACAAGUGGGAGCUAAACCUUGCAUACUCACAGACAUAAAGGUGGCAACAAUAGACAUUGAAGACUACUAGAGGGAGGAGCAGGGUUGGGGGUAGUGUUGAAAAACUACGUAUUGGGUACUAUGCUCACUACCUGAAUGAUGGGAACAUUUGUACUCUAAGCCUUGGCAUCACAUGAUAUACCCACAUAACAAACCCGCAUAUGUACCCCCAUAUCUAAAAUAAAAGUUGAAAUUAUUUAAAAAUAAAUAAUAAAUAAAUAAAUGCAUGAUAGAUUUCAGCAGUGGGGAAAAAAUAACAAGUUUUGGCAAAGAUAAAGAGAAACUGGGAUGCUUAUACAUUGUUUGCGGGAAUGCAAAAUAGAACAGCCAUUUUGGAAAACAGUUUGAUAGUUUCAUUUAAGAAGUUAUACAUAAAUUUAUCAUCUGGCCCAGCAAUUGCACUCCUAGUUAUCUACCAAAGAGAAAUGAAAGCCUAUCCACACAAAGAAUUGUACGUAAAUGUUCUUAGCAGGUAGUGCAUAAUAAUCAAAAUGGAAACAAACUGAUGAUGAAUGGAUAAACAAAAUGUGACAUAUUCAUAAAAUGGAAUAUUAUUCAACAAUUAAAAGAAGUACUGAUACAUGCUACAAUAUUAAUGAAUCUCAAGAACAUUAUGCUAAGUGAAAGAAGCAAGAUAAAAAAGACUACGUGCACAUUUUAGGACUACUUUUAUAUGAAAUGCCCCAAAAAGAAAAAUCCACAGAGACAAAAUGCAGGUUAGCAGUUGCAUGGGGUUUGGGGAAUGGGAGAAGGAGUUGACUGCAAACAGACCCAAGGGACCUUUUUGGAGUAAUAUAAAUGUGUUCUACAACUGGAUUAUGGUGACAUUUGCACAACUCUGAAAAUUUACCAAAAAUCACUCAUUGUACACUUAGAAUGGGUUAAUUGUAUGAUAUGUAAGUUAUACCUGCUUCUAAAAAUGACUAUUGCAAUAAUAUUUCAUCUUCUCUAUUUUGCUCACAAUUUGCUUCACUGUUCAUGGAAUCACUCACUAUCUAAAAUAAGAUAUCCCCAGAAAUUGGACACAAUUUUAUGCUUUGAGAGUGAAGACAGAAGAAUCUGCUUGUGAUGGGCUUGUCCAAGGAGCAUGAGAGACAGUCAAAUGUAAGGACAUAACUCAGAGGCAUGAAUGUAUCUACAUCUGAAGCUACAGCCUUAUCAUUUGGGAGUUUGUACAUCAGUCUUUCAUAAAUCCUACUUCACUUGGCCAGCUUGGGGCCUCCUAGCAAUAUUCAUUGGUUUACCAAGAAUAUUUUUAUAGGCUGCACAAAGGUAAACUUUGGCUCAGUUCUUGCCUACAUCAUUAUAAUUUCUCAAUUAUUGGGAUAAAACUAAUAAAGCUCAAUUAAACCUUAAAUACAUCAUUAUACUCUGAAUUUUAAAAAUUGUCAAAGUUACAGCUAAUGACAAUAGAAUUUACUGUUACUUUCUAUAUUUUGUUCUAAUUAUGAAAGCCCAUUAAAACUCUAAAUAAAGAAAUAAUUUGAAACUCAUAAGCUUUGAAAUCAACUCAAUGAACUUACAUAAUUACAUUCACAUGACAUAAAGGAUUAUUCGAAAUACAAUUGAAGAGCAAACAUAUGCACAGAUUUAGACAAUAUUCAUGAUUUAUAGCAAAUUAUAAAAUCUUCCAGGCAACAUUUUAAGGAAUCCAUGUUUUAAAUCAUUACUUGACUUGUUCUUGGCAUAUAAAUAAUUAUGGAGUGCAGAGUCUUCAUUGAGUUUAUCCUCAUCACUGGCUUGCUUUAGACAUACAGGUUUCCAUUUUGU